rnacentral:rRNA from 1 species
AACCGGGAGAUAGCUGGUUCUCCCCGAAAGCUAUUUAGGUAGCGCCUCGUGAACUCAUCUCCGGGGGUAGAGCACUGUUUCGGCAAGGGGGUCAUCCCGACUUACCAACCCGAUGCAAACUGCGAAUACCGGAGAAUGUUAUCACGGGAGACACACGGCGGGUGCUAACGUCCGUCGUGAAGAGGGAAACAACCCAGACCGCCAGCUAAGGUCCCAAAGUCAUGGUUAAGUGGGAAACGAUGUGGGAAGGCCCAGACAGCCAGGAUGUUGGCUUAGAAGCAGCCAUCAUUUAAAGAAAGCGUAAUAGCUCACUGGUCGAGUCGGCCUGCGCGGAAGAUGUAACGGGGCUAAACCAUGCACCGAAGCUGCGGCAGCGACGCUGAUGCGUUGUUGGGUAGGGGAGCGUUCUGUAAGCCUGUGAAGGUGUGCUGUGAGGCAUGCUGGAGGUAUCAGAAGUGCGAAUGCUGACAUAAGUAACGAUAAAGCGGGUGAAAAGCCCGCUCGCCGGAAGACCAAGGGUUCCUGUCCAACGUUAAUCGGGGCAGGGUGAGUCGACCCCUAAGGCGAGGCCGAAAGGCGUAGUCGAUGGGAAACAGGUUAAUAUUCCUGUACUUGGUGUUACUGCGAAGGGGGGACGGAGAAGGCUAUGUUGGCCGGGCGACGGUUGUCCCGGUUUAAGCGUGUAGGCUGGUUUUCCAGGCAAAUCCGGAAAAUCAAGGCUGAGGCGUGAUGACGAGGCACUACGGUGCUGAAGCAACAAAUGCCCUGCUUCCAGGAAAAGCCUCUAAGCAUCAGGUAACAUCAAAUCGUACCCCAAACCGACACAGGUGGUCAGGUAGAGAAUACCAAGGCGCUUGAGAGAACUCGGGUGAAGGAACUAGGCAAAAUGGUGCCGUAACUUCGGGAGAAGGCACGCUGAUAUGUAGGUGAAGUCCCUCGCGGAUGGAGCUGAAAUCAGUCGAAGAUACCAGCUGGCUGCAACUGUUUAUUAAAAACACAGCACUGUGCAAACACGAAAGUGGACGUAUACGGUGUGACGCCUGCCCGGUGCCGGAAGGUUAAUUGAUGGGGUCAGCGCAAGCGAAGCUCUUGAUCGAAGCCCCGGUAAACGGCGGCCGUAACUAUAACGGUCCUAAGGUAGCGAAAUUCCUUGUCGGGUAAGUUCCGACCUGCACGAAUGGCGUAAUGAUGGCCAGGCUGUCUCCACCCGAGACUCAGUGAAAUUGAACUCGCUGUGAAGAUGCAGUGUACCCGCGGCAAGACGGAAAGACCCCGUGAACCUUUACUAUAGCUUGACACUGAACAUUGAGCCUUGAUGUGUAGGAUAGGUGGGAGGCUUAGAAGUGUGGACGCCAGUCUGCAUGGAGCCGACCUUGAAAUACCACCCUUUAAUGUUUGAUGUUCUAACGUUGACCCGUAAUCCGGGUUGCGGACAGUGUCUGGUGGGUAGUUUGACUGGGGCGGUCUCCUCCUAAAGAGUAACGGAGGAGCACGAAGGUUGGCUAAUCCUGGUCGGACAUCAGGAGGUUAGUGCAAUGGCAUAAGCCAGCUUGACUGCGAGCGUGACGGCGCGAGCAGGUGCGAAAGCAGGUCAUAGUGAUCCGGUGGUUCUGAAUGGAAGGGCCAUCGCUCAACGGAUAAAAGGUACUCCGGGGAUAACAGGCUGAUACCGCCCAAGAGUUCAUAUCGACGGCGGUGUUUGGCACCUCGAUGUCGGCUCAUCACAUCCUGGGGCUGAAGUAGGUCCCAAGGGUAUGGCUGUUCG